rnacentral:rRNA from 1 species
AGUAACACGUGGGUAACCUGCCCUAAAGUGGGGGAUAGCCAACCGAAAGGUUGAUUAAUACCGCAUAACCCAAUGAUAUCACAUGAUAUUAUUGGCAAAGGAGUAAUCCGCUAUAGGAGGGACCCGCGGUCCAUUAGCUAGUUGGUGAGGUAACGGCUCACCAAGGCGACGAUGGAUAGCCGAUCUGAGAGGAUGAACGGCCACAUUGGAACUGAGACACGGUCCAG